CCAGAGCCGUUCUGGUAUGUGGACCAAGAGGCACAGGUCUUCAGGGAAGAAACAUACGGAUACGGGUCAUAGCAGAGCAUCUUUCGGUAGAAGAGGUCACGUGGAGUUAAUAAGCUUGAUAUAAGGUGGAUGCAAAUGGAGUCAAACGUGAGGAGAUAUACUAUUAUAUUGAAUUCUUGUUCUGCUUUGCGACAAGGAGUGUCAAGUAGCUGCCUCCGCCUCUCCCAAGUCCAAGCGAGUUCUAUCCACGUAGCAGCACCGACAGCCGAUCAGGGCGGCUGGCAACAGCGACUAGCGGGGAGUCCUUGCACGCAAUCACCUAUAGAAGGCCAUGCAACGCGUUUCUCACUCGGAAAUCAAAACAAAGAGAGAACGGGAUCUUUUACUGUGAUUUGGCAUGUACUUCUCUACAUUGGGUAAAAUUAUUGCACACUUUUUUCUUCGUCUGCUCUUAUUAGGGUUGCCACUCAAUUCAAGAAUUAGAUAACUGGAAGAUUCGGUAGUUUUUGACCGACAUGGAAUAAGUAUGCCAGAUGUUUAGUUGUAGACCUACUAUCUCAAAUCUUCUCAAAUAUUACUGAUUCUAUUGAUCUGGGAUAGCUUUAAGAUUAUAUGUUUGAUACACAAGAGAUACAUGCCACUCGAAUUUGGUAUACUUCAGAACAACAAAUAUAUGCCAUUAGACUUUAUUUAAAUAUAUUUUCAGACACAAUGCCUUAAACCUUUUUCUUCCACUUUGAAGCAAUUCACUGCAAAGUGCGUCAUUUUAACUAGAACACACAAUCGUUUGUUGUUUAGUACUUGUGCUAAAUCGCUUCCAAUAUGGUAAUAAAAGAGCAAAAAUAAUUACAUGCUAAAUUACACUUAAUAUCAGGAUCCGUAUUUGGGUGUUGUUUUCAUCACACGGCAAU